rnacentral:misc_RNA from 1 species
GAAAUGCGAUAAGUAGUGUGAAUUGCAGAAUUCAGUGAAUCAUCGAAUCUUUGAACGCACAUUGCGCCCCUUGGUAUUCCAUGGGGCAUGCCUGUUCGAGCGUCAUUUGUACCCUCAAGCUCUGCUUGGUGUUGGGUGUUUGUCCCGUCUCCGCGCGUGGACUCGCCCCAAAGUGAUUGGCAGCCGGCGUACUGGUCCCGGAGCGCAGCACAUGUCGCGCAAACGAGUGCCUUGGUACGGCGGCGUCCAUAAGCCCCUCUCUCACGCUCUUGUCCUCGGAUCAGGUAGGGAUACCCGCUGAACUUAAGC